rnacentral:sRNA from 1 species
UUUACAAAUCCAUUAUUUCUAAUGAACUAUUUUUUAAAGUCUAUUUACCCUAAACGUAAAUUAAAGUUAAAUAAGAUGUUUAAGUAGAAAAAAUUAGAAUGUGUGACUGGCGUAAAAUUUAUGACACACGACAGGUAUGCAUUCUGGUCGGCUCUGGACUAUCGUCUUGAUGUUUUCGUGUUCGAAAAUUGUCCCAAGCCAUAUCCUGCCUUACAUCUGCUGGAGCUUUGGGCUAACACACUGGUUUCCAGACUUUUUUUUUUCUUGAACUGAGUCCUCUUUCCAGAUUUUGAAGUAGGAUGGCGGCGGCAAGGUUCAAAUCCAGGGGCCAUAGAGACAAUCUGGAGUCCAGAUCAACGCAUACCCCAAGGACAGGCAGUGAAAAGAAGUUAAAAGCUACAUGUGAAUAUAUAUGAUAUUCAAAUUAAAUCGAAACCAAGCACAAGUAUAACUCUGACAUAAAAAGAGGAGUCAUGGCUUGAUAGAUCCCGAAGACAUUUACCAGUAAAGAGACACCGAGGCAUGCGUAGACAUUCCGUAAUUAGAGGGUUUCAGUUGCCAUCUUCUUUGUUUGGGUGUUCUAUUGAUUAACGUGACCUUCAUUGUAUCUGUACGUAAACAUCAUGGUUUGUUUGACCUAAUCUCACAUACAUGAUGUUUUAAUUGACCUAAUCUCACAUACAUGAUAUUUUAAUUGACCUAAUCUCACAUACAUAAUGAUGUUUUAAUUGACCUAAUCUCACAUACAUAAUGAUGUUUUAAUUGACCUAAUCUCACAUACAUGAUGUUUUAAUUGACCUAAUCUCACAUACAUGAUGUUUUAAUUGACCUAAUCUCACAUACAUAAUGAUGUUUUAAUUGACCUAAUCUCACAUACAUAAUGAUGUUUUAAUUG